UACGGAGGGUGCGAGCGUUGUCCGGAAAUCACUGGGCGUAAAGGGCGCGUAGGCGGCCUGAUAAGUAGGGGGGUGAAAUCUUGCGGCUUAACCGCAAGGCUGCCUUCUAAACUGUCGGGCUCGAGCACAGUAGAGGCAGGGUGGAAUUCCCGGUGUAGCGGUGGAAUGCGUAGAGAAUCGGGAAGAACAUCAGUGGCGAAGGCGGCCUGCUGGGCUGUUGCUGACGCUGAGGCGCGACAGCGUGGGGGAAGCAAACAGG
rnacentral:rRNA from 1 species